GGACUACUCGGGUAUCUAAUCCCGUUUGCUCCCCUAGCUUUCGUCCAUGAGCGUCAGAUGCUUCCCAGAAAGCUGCCUACGCCAUCGGUGUUCUUCCGGAUAUCUACGCAUUUCACCACUCCACCCGGAGUUCCGCUUUCCUCUGAAGCCCUCAAGUCUGCCAGUUUUCGGAGCACUUUCCCAGUUGAGCCGGGAACUGUCACCCCAAACUUAGCAGACCGCCUGCGGACGCUUUACGCCCAAUAAAUCCGGACAACGCUUGCCCCCUACGUAUUACCGCGGCUGCUGGCAC
rnacentral:rRNA from 1 species